CGCGCGCGCGCCCCCAUAUGCACUGCCUCCCGUGGGCGCGCCUGCCUUGACGUGACGUCACUUCCUCUCCGGGCCUGCCAGCUGGGAACCGGAGAAACAGCAACAGUGACUUUCCAGGACAAUCGUUUUCCUGGCAUUCCUCUGACAGACCAGCAAUGAGCAGCUCUACGGUGCCCCGUGUAGUUUAUAACGGCAAGCGCCCCACAAGCAGCACGCGCUCUCCAAGCAGCAGCGAGAUAUUCACACCAGCUCAUGAGGAGAAUGUACGGUUCAUUUACGAAGCAUGGCAGAGUGUGGAGCGGGACCUGAGGAACCAAGUGUCUGGUGGGGAACGUGGAUUUGUGGAAGAAUAUGUGGAGAAGCAACCAAGCAACAACCUGAAAUGUCAGUGACUCAAAGCUUUAGAACCAGCCUGGCAACUAGCAUGUUCAAAAAAAAAAAGCUUUCAAACCAGUUGAUCUGAACGACCUGAAGAGGAGAAGCACACAGGACCCCAAGAAGUCAUAACUUUCUUACAGCCGCUCGACUUUUUCCAACUGGCACAAUUGGGACUUCACCUUCAUCCGUUUCCAUUUGGUCGUCCAUUACUGACAGAACGAAUCUUCUUUGAGACUGUACUGUGUGGACUAGGCAGAGUUUUUCUGCGUCACCCCCCCCCCCCCAAAUCCCUUAUCGUCCCUUCCCCAGUAAGAAGAGAAAAAAGCUUCCCCCCCCUAUACCCUAGUUUGUCCUUUACCCUCCACCCCGAGCAUCUAAAGCCCCCCAAAAAAACUAUUGAAGCUCCCCCUUUUUAAUUUUUAUUUAACCAACUGAGAUUCUGACUUUGAGGGUGGUAUUGUAUAUUUAUGCGGUAGCUGGGUCCAUGUUCAAUCCCAGCAUCAAAAGUUCCAUAGGUCAACUAGCUAUUAAAUGGCUCAUCAUACCGUGUUCAGCUGUUGUCCUGCAAUACCAUCCAGACUACUCCUUCUAUUAAAGAUUAAAACAAAAAAAAGCAA